UCUCUUGUGGAAUGAUAUACCGAUAUCAAGAGUGGGGCGAUGGUGUACACAAUUAUGAUGACCACAUCAUUCUUAGCCUUCACUUCUGUCUGUACAUAAGGGCAUCUCUCCAGACUCACACCACAGCAGGAAGAGUUUUUGAAGCCAUGGAACUGUCACUGGGUGUGAAACUACCUCCACACAGCCGUAUACUGCAGGGAUACAUGCAUUUUGAAGCUUUGACAGACCAUCAAUACAUAUAUUCAUGUGUAAAAUGUGGCUCCAAUCCAGCCAUUGUUGUCAUGGAUCUGCAUAAGAAAGGAGUGUUCAGCCUGCCAGUUAGUGAAAUCCCUGAUCCAUCAGAUUACACUGGUAUAGUGGACAUGGAAGAAUUUUGGACUUCACUCU